UACCACAUCCAAGGAAGGCAGCAGGCGCGCAAAUUACCCACUCCCAGCACGGGGAGGUAGUGACGAAAAAUAACGAUACGGGACUCAUCCGAGGCCCCGUAAUCGGAAUGAGUACACUUUAAAUCCUUUAACGAGGAUCCAUUGGAGGGCAAGUCUGGUGCCAGCCGCCGCGGUAAUUCCAGCUCCAAUAGCGUAUAUUAAAGUUGUUGCGGUUAAAAAGCUCGUAGUUGAAUCUGUGUGUUACGCUGUCGGUUCAUCGCUCGCCGAUGUCUAACUGAUACGCCGUGACACGUCCUACCGGUGGACUUAGCCGUUCCCGCUUUGCGGUAACGCGGCGGUCCUACUUGAAUCCCAUCGCGGUGCCCUUAAUCGAGUGUCGUGGUGGGCCGGUACGUUUACUUUGAACAAAUUAGAGUGCUUAAAGCAGGCUGUUUUCGCCUGAAUACUGUGUGCAUGGAAUAAUGGAAUAGGACCUCGGUUCUAUUUUGUUGGUUUUCGGAACACCGAGGUAAUGAUUAAUAGGGACAGAUGGGGGCAUUCGUAUUGCGACGUUAGAGGUGAAAUUCUUGGAUCGUCGCAAGACGGACAGAAGCGAAAG
rnacentral:rRNA from 1 species